rnacentral:lncRNA from 1 species
GUUUAACAGCUUUUACCCUUAAGGCUCGUUCAGCAAGAGGGGGCCCAAGCUCAUCAGGUGGGUCCUCAGAACGGCAGUCCUCACCAGCAGUUCUCUGGGUGGCAGUGCUGAAUGGAAGUGGCCAUCCCCUAAAACAGGAAGGAGGUGGCACAUAAUGAAGAAAUGCCAUCAUAAGCCAAAAUUACAACCAAGUUUAGAGACCAGAGAUCUUCCCAGAUGGAAUCUCUGGAGAAAGUGUUUUCAGUUAUAGUAAC